AAAGAUUUAAGUUGUUUUGAAAUGAAAUUCGUUUUUUUUUAUAUCUGGUUACCCAGGAAUUCUGAUUCAAUCAGGGAUUUUUAUUUGUUUUUUUAUUAUUUUAAUUCAUUUUUAAUUCUUAAAUCUAGGUGGAUAAGCUCUUUUUUUGUAUAUAAUUUUAUUUAUUUUUUUUUUUGUUGGAUUGAAGUCUUCCUUCAUUUUAAGUUCGUUGAAGAUUAAUUAUUUUAUUUUUUUUUAUUUAUUUUUUUACUGGGUUUUUAUGAAAUUUUUUAAUAUUUAAAAAUGAUUAUAUUAGUAAAUUUAAAAAUCUUUAUUAUGAACUAGGCAAAAAGUUUUUCCGCCUGUUUAUCAAAAACAUGUCUUCCAGAUUUUAUUGGAGGUUUGACCUGCUCAAUGUAUUAUAAAUAGCCGCAGUAUUUUGACUGUGCUAAGGUAGCAUAAUAAUUAGUCUUUUAAUUGAGGUCUAGAAUGAAUGGUCGGACGAGAAAUUUACUUUAUUAUUUAAAUUUUAUUUGAAUUUUAUUUUUUAGUAAAAAAGCUAAAUUGUUGAAGAGGGACGAUAAGACCCUAUAGAUCUUUAUUUUUUUUCCAUUUUUUUUUUUAUAGUUUAUUUUUAAUUUUUAUUGGUGACAAAUUUUGCUGGGGUGGUAAAUAAAAUUUUAAUCUUUAUUUUUUUCUUACAUUUAUUUAUGUUAUUUUGAUCCUUUUUUUUGAUUAUAAGAUUAAGAUACCUUAGGGAUAACAGCGUUAUAAUUCUGGAGAGUUCACAUUGAUAGAAUUGUUUGCGACCUCGAUGUUGGAUUAAAAAUUUUUGUGAGGCAGGUUU
rnacentral:rRNA from 1 species